rnacentral:rRNA from 1 species
GGUAAAGCUUUUGCGGUUUGGGAUGGGCCUGCGUCCUAUCAGGUAGUUGGUGAGGUAAAUGCUCACCAAGCCUAUGACGGGUAGCUGGUCUGAGAGGAUGGUCAGCCAGACUGGGACUGCGACACGGCCCAGACUCCUACGGGAGGCAGCAACUAGGAAUUGUGCGCAAUGGACGAAAGUCUGACGCCGCGACAUCGCGUGGAGGAUGAAGGUCUUCGGAUUGUAAACUCCUUUUCUUACCGAACAAGUUCUGAGUGUAGGUAAAGAAUAAGUGCCUGCUAACCACGUGCCAGAAGCAUCGGUAAUACGUGGGGCACGAGCGUUAUCCGGAUUUACUGGGCGUAAAGAGAAGCGUAGGCGGCUCAAUAAGUUUGGUGUUAAAUCUUCCGGCUCAACCGGAAACAAGCACCGAAAACUAUCGAGAUUGAGUCGAGUAGGGAAGAGGGGAAUUCCUGGUGGAGCGGUUAAAUGCGUGGAUAUCAGGAGGAAUACCAAGGGCGAAGGCACCUCUUUGGACUCGUACUGACGCUGAGGCUCGAAAGCGUGGGUAGCAAAACGGAUUAGAUACCCGUGUAGUCCACGCCGUAAACGAUCCCUGUUAGAUGUAUGUUUUGUC